AGUAGACUGAUCGAUAACUCAUGGGUAUACAAUUGGACAAAAAAGAAGCCUGAAUGCAUAACUAUUAACGAUGACGGGCAUAGUUGCAAGUCUGCCCACGUUGUUUCAAAGGGUACUUUGCUUAAGAAAAAAGUACGUGGAAGCGUGAUUGGCAUGCUAUUAAGGUCCAAAAACAAAAAAGAGGCAUUUGGCGUUGCAGAAGAUGGUCAAUUUCAGCAAAAUAAAGUUGUUGGGAGAUUAACGAUUUUAGCACUAGAAAAUAUAUUCCUAACGUGUUCCACGAUUGUAAGACUUUAUGUUUAGUUGCUACAUUAGAUUAUUUGGAAAUAUAUUUUGUUAUGAAAUUACAAUUUUGGUUGUGGGAAUUUAGAACAUGGGGAUACACAUUUCUAGCGGGUUGUUUAUAUGAAUUUAAAAA
rnacentral:lncRNA from 1 species